rfam:TPA: Bos taurus chromosome 20, whole genome shotgun sequence.
UCUCUGGUAGUCAAGUGGCUAAGACUCUGCACUUUCAAUGCAGGGCACCCAUGUUUGAUCCCUGGUCAAGGAA